CAUGAUUUUAGGACGUUGCCUCGGCCUUCCAGGCGGAAACGAAGCCUAAACAUCCGUUUCUUUAAUAACUUUGCAACGGCUCGACGAAUCGCCGAACCGACUUCGCCAACGCGUUCGUUUACCUAGCAAUUAGGUUUAUGGAGGGUCAAAUGAGAUCAAACCCUACUAUUUUACAAAAUCCCAUUUUUGAGCCCUAAUAUACACUAUUGCAAGAAUUCGUCAUAUGAUCCCUUAAUUCAUGCAAUAGCCAUCCAUUUAGCAUCUAAGGAUUCCUCUAAAUCCAUUCUUAGAGCAUAUAAUUAAAGCUCUUAAGAUCUAUCAUUAUAAACCUAGCCUCUACACAUGCUCCAAUUAACCCAAAUUAAAUAGACUUAACAUGCUAAUCAACACAUUAGAGGCUAUUGGAACACUAAGCAUUAAGGAUUAAACCAAAUCCUAGCUUAAAUUAUGAGAUCUCACCUUAGACCACCAUUCACAUCAAGCUAAAUCCACUAUUGGAAAGCUUGCUUCCACCAUUAGAGAGAGCUUCAGCUUCAAGCUACUCUAAUCUUCUCCAAGCUUGCUUCAAUUUUUCUUUCUUUUCUUCUCCAAUCCUCUCUUUGGUGUAGAGAGAGAUUUUUCUCUUU
rnacentral:lncRNA from 1 species